rnacentral:lncRNA from 1 species
CGGGCUGGAGCGGAUCACCGGUGAAGGCGGGGCAGCGUUGCUGCGUCUGGGUGGAAGGUUCGGGUGGUCAGGGGUGGAACUAGGAAGGCUUGAGUCCUGUUCUGGCGAUUUGCGUGCGGGCGGCGUCCGGAGUCGAACAGGGCGUCGCGGGUCUGCCUGGCGGAGCGGCUCGACUCGAGCUCGGGUCGUCGCGAGGAGGCGAUCGGCGAUUGCUGGUGUCGCGUCGCCGCGGGUGGAGCGACGGGCGGUGAUGGGCAGAUUUGGCUCGAGUCCGGUCUGCAGAGCUUUGGUGGACCGGAGCGGCAGAUCAGGUUCCGAGCGAGUGAGGGGACGGAGGCCGAGGGGGUUCCGGCGGUGCGGCGCCGAGGGUCGGUGAUCGAUGCGCCUGAGCGAUGCAGGCACGGCCGGUGGAGGUGCGAGGGCGUCCGGCGGGCUUCGUGGCUGCGGGUGGAAG